GAUGAACGCUGGCGGCGUGCCUAAUACAUGCAAGUCGAGCGAACGGACGAGAAGCUUGCUUCUCUGAUGUUAGCGGCGGACGGGUGAGUAACACGUGGAUAACCUACCUAUAAGACUGGGAUAACUUCGGGAAACCGGAGCUAAUACCGGAUAAUAUUUUGAACCGCAUGGUUCAAAAGUGAAAGACGGUCUUGCUGUCACUUAUAGAUGGAUCCGCGCUGCAUUGGCUAGUUGGUAAGGUAACGGCUUACCAAGGCAACGAUGCAUAGCCGACCUGAGAGGGUGAUCGGCCACACUGGAACUGAGACACGGUCCAGACUCCUACGGGAGGCAGCAGUAGGGAAUCUUCCGCAAUGGGCGAAAGCCUGACGGAGCGACGCCGCGUGAGUGAUGAAGGUCUUCGGAUCGUAAAACUCUGUUAUUAGGGAAGAACAUAUGUGUAAGUAACUGUGCACAUCUUGACGGUACCUAAUCAGAAAGCCACGGCUAACUACGUG
rnacentral:rRNA from 1 species